rnacentral:misc_RNA from 1 species
GUCUUUAGUAUCAUUUUCGUCACCUUCCCUGAAAAAUUUCACCAUUCCAGUGAAAGGUGGUCUGACAAUGGAAUUGGCUAUUGCUCAGUUCUGGUCUAGUGGAAUUGGUAGCCACGAGGCCACCAUUGUUGAUUUUGAGAUUGUGUUUCAUGGCAUAAAUAUAAAUAGAGAAGCUGUAGUGCUUGAUGGUAGUGAGGCACCUGUAAGAAUCGAAGCUAAAUCUCUGUUAGCUACCGAGAAGCUUGUCCCAGCUGCCACUCUGAAUAAGAUCAAAG